UGGGGAAUAUUGCACAAUGGGCGCAAGCCUGAUGCAGCCAUGCCGCGUGUGUGAAGAAGGCCUUCGGGUUGUAAAGCACUUUCAGCGAGGAGGAAGGUGGUGGACUUAAUACGUUCAUCAAUUGACGUUACUCGCAGAAGAAGCACCGGCUAACUCCGUGCCAGCAGCCGCGGUAAUACGGAGGGUGCAAGCGUUAAUCGGAAUUACUGGGCGUAAAGCGCACGCAGGCGGUUUGUUAAGUCAGAUGUGAAAUCCCCGGGCUCAACCUGGGAACUGCAUUUGAAACUGGCAAGCUAGAGUCUCGUAGAGGGGGGUAGAAUUCCAGGUGUAGCGGUGAAAUGCGUAGAGAUCUGGAGGAAUACCGGUGGCGAAGGCGGCCCCCUGGACGAAGACUGACGCUCAGGUGCGAAAGCGUGGGGCAGCAAACAGGAUUAGAUACCCUGGUAGUCCACGCUGUAAACGAUGUCGAUUUGGAGGUUGUG
rnacentral:rRNA from 1 species